AGGGCUAUAGCUCAGCGGUAGAGCAUCUGCCUUGCAUGCAGAAGGUCCCAGGUUCAAUCCCCAGAAACUCCA